rnacentral:rRNA from 1 species
AGAGUUUGAUCCUGACUCAGAGUGAACGCUGGCGGCGUGCUUAACACAUGCAAGUCGAACGAGAACGGAUUAAAGCUUGCUUUAAUUGUCAGCUAAGUGGCGCACGGGUGAGUAAUAUAUAGGUAACGUGCCCUAGAGAGGGGGAUAACAGAUGGAAACGUCUGCUAACACCCCAUAUGCCUUUAUCACAAAAGUGAGCAAGGGAAAUAUUUAUAGCUCUAGGAUCGGCCUGUACGGUAUCAGCUAGUUGGUGAGGUAAUGGCUCACCAAGGCAAUGACACCUAACUGGUUUGAGAGGAUGAUCAGUCACACUGGAACUGAGACACGGUCCAGACUCCUACGGGAGGCAGCAGUGGGGAAUAUUGCACAAUGGACGAAAGUCUGAUGCAGCAACGCCGCGUGGAGGAUGACACAUUUCGGUGCGUAAACUCCUUUUAUAUAGGAAGAUAAUGACGGUACUAUAUGAAUAAGCACCGGCUAACUCCGUGCCAGCAGCCGCGGUAAUACGGAGGGUGCAAGCGUUACUCGGAAUUACUGGGCGUAAAGAGCGUGUAGGCGGGUAAAUAAGUUGGAAGUGAAAUCCUAUGGCUCAACCAUAGAACUGCUUCCAAAACUGUUAACCUAGAAUGUGGGAGAGGUAGAUGGAAUUUCUGGUGUAGGGGUAAAAUCCGUAGAUAUCAGAAGGAAUACCGAUUGCGAAGGCGAUCUACUGGAACAUAAUUGACGCUGAGACGCGAAAGCGUGGGGAGCAAACAGGAUUAGAUACCCUGGUAGUCCACGCCCUAAACGAUGUACACUAGUUGUUGUGAGGCUAGACCUUGCAGUAAUGCAGUUAACACAUUAAGUGUACCGCCUGGAAGUACGGUCGCAAGAUUAAAACUCAAAGGAAUAGACGGGGACCCGCACAAGCGGUGGAGCAUGUGGUUUAAUUCGACUAUACGCGAAGAACCUUACCUGGUCUUGACAUAGAAAGAACUUUCCAGAGAUGGAUUGGUGCCUGCUUGCAGGAGCUUUCAUACAGGUGCUGCACGGCUGUCGUCAGCUCGUGUCGUGAGAUGUUGGGUUAAGUCCCGCAACGAGCGCAACCCUCGUCGUUAGUUGCUAACAGUUCGGCUGAGAACUCUAACGAGACUGCCUACGCAAGUAGGAGGAAGGUGAGGACGACGUCAAGUCAUCAUGGCCCUUACGACCAGGGCUACACACGUGCUACAAUGGGGCAU